UUGAGAAAGGGGAAGUCAGGGAUGAGGUCUAUGUUCUGUACUUCCCUUCCACCCUCAAACCUCCUUCCAUCAAGCCCAGGUGCUGUAUGGGAAUAUAAUGAAGCAAAACCGAUUCCUCUAGUGGCCGUGUCCAAACAUAUAUGUCUCAUUCUGCAUCUUGAGUCCAUCACCUCGGAGGUUUGAGCCAGCACCAAGGUGAGCUGAUCCUUUCAAGGUGAGCUGAGGGGAGAAUGCAGUUAGGACUGGAACAAUCAAUCCAUCCUACUCCAUCUGGCUGCCAACAACCAACACCAACAGCCUGAAGAAUCAAAGGAGCAGGGCCUGGGAAUUGAGAUUCAGCCUCUCACCAGCCUGUAGCCUGAGGACUUCCAGGGACCAACCUCAGACAAAAGCGUGUGGAUUUAGAAGAUAUCUCCAAAAUGACUCCGUGGAGAUGGCCUCCACUCCAAGGAGCAGAAAGUCUCAGCACUAUUACUACAAAUCCUCCACUCUAGUUUGACUCUGAUGUUACCAAAUGGAAUGAAUCAGUUGUCCAUGGACCCUGGGUUCUCAAAGGCCCAUGAGACCAGGAGACAAACUCUGGAAGAUUCUCAUUUAGCUUUGACCACAGCUGAAGGACAGACUUUGUGCUUGUCAUCUUAAGUCCAACUUAGGAAAGUCGAGAGAGGUUUAUCACCAGAGGAUUGACCACCACAUGAAGACUACAGUUAAUAACAUACUUCCAUGGAAUGUGGGAUUUCAACAGGUCAGAUAAGCAAUUAAAAUCAGCUUGGAGCCUGGAUAUGUGAGCAU